AUGUAAUUGUAAAACUGAAUCUCGAGAUGUUCAAAUCCAGGCAUAUAAAUAAAACAGUUCAAUUCUUGAAAAAAGCAUCUACAUUGUCACUAGCUUUAAACAAAUAUGACAAGAACGGUGAAAGACAUCAGCAGACAUAUGACAGCAUGAUCCAGGGUUGAUUUUAGGGGGUAUUGAACAAAAAUCUGCUUCCGUGCCCAGGAACUGUAG